AGUUUGAUGUAUAGAAUGUGACUUGAUUGAAUAUGCUUGCAACUAAAGGAUGCGCGGAUAACAGUUAAGCAAGCAAUCUAUCUAAGUAAGUAAGUGUGUUAGUUAGACAAUGACUAGAGGCAUUACAAACACAACAAACAUAUAGUGGUUCGGUGCACCCCAGCACCUACAUCCACUCUCCAAGACCUCUUGGGAAUUUCACUAUAAUCCUACAGAUUACAGCCGGUUGUUUUACAAGCUCACAACCCAACUUGUUGUUUUACGAGCGCACAACGAACUCGGUCGGUUUUCCCAGGCUCACCGACUAGAACCUACCGAUUGUUUUCACGGGCUCACAAUCCAACCCAGUUGGUUUUCCCAAAGGCUCACCAACCACAACCUUACAACGAUUGUUUUUCGGGUUCACAAUCAACCCAGUUGGUUUUUCCAAAGGCUCACCAACCACAACCUUACAA
rnacentral:lncRNA from 1 species